rnacentral:rRNA from 1 species
AUGGGCCUCGGCGGCGGCGGCGGGGAGGGGGUCCUGGCCGUGGUGCCCAUGGAAGCCAUCCCGAUGGCCGAGCCGCAGAUCGUCGCCGGCGGCAAGAUCGUGGGCCUGCGGGCGGACCUGCUCGACUGCCACAACUGCCGCCUCCCCCUCAAGCCCCCGAUAUUCAAGUGCGACGCCGAGCACCUCGUCUGCUCCUCCUGCCGCGGCCUCCACGGCGAGGCCUGCGGCGGCCGCGCCGCCGUCCACUCCGCCCUCGCCGACAUCUUCGCCGCCGCCGCCACCGUGCCCUGCGGCUACGAGCGCUACGGCUGCGACGCGGGGGGCGUCGUGUACCACGAGGCCGCCGACCACCGCCGCGCGUGCCAGCACGCGCCCUGCUGCUGCCCGGACCGCGCGGGCGCGGCCGGUAUCGGGGGCUGCGGCUUCGUCGGCUCCCGCCAGGAUCUGCUCGACCACAUCUCCGGCCCCGACCACUCGCGCCCCAUCAUCGUCGUCCGCUACGGCCAGCCCUGGAACCUCAGCCUGCCGCUCUCGCGCCGCUGGCACAUCCUCGUCGGCGAGGAGGACAAGGCGGUGGCCGCCGCCGCGGGCGCCGAGCGGCACCGCAACCUCUUCCUCGUCUCCCUCGGCGAGCGCGGCGCGACCACGGCCGUGUCGCUGGUGUGCGUCAGGGUGGACGGCACGGCGCCGAGCGCGCCGCAGUUCGCGUGCAAGCUCGCCGUGGAGAGCGACGGCUGCAGGCUGACCCUGGAGUCGCCUCUGGUGUGCAGCAGUUCCCUGUCCGGCGGCCUGCCCGCCGAGGUCAAGUGCCUGCCUGUGCCCAAAGACUUUCUCUCCGGCGACAGUGUGCCCCUCAGCAUCCACAUCGAGAAGCUUCCGGCUCCCCCUGCUCCUCCUCUAGGACUAGGAGUUGCGCCGGCCUGUACUUCCCCGGUCGCCGCCACUCCUCCUCCUUGCCCGGCCGCCACCAUCCCGCCUUCUCGUCCGUCCUCCGGCUCCUCCGACAACGUCGCAGUCAAGACGGUGAUAACAGAUCAGAGCUACAAGAAACGGAAGUCUGCCAACCCAAGGAAGCUGUAG